CCUAUCUGCUCUCCUCCCCCACCUCCCCGUUUUUUUCUUUAUUUUUUUGCUUAGAGAAAAAAGCCCGUGGAUAACGCAGCCGCAUCCGCUGCUUCCUCCUCCGUCCCGAGCACGGGGAGGGGGGAAUGGGGACGGGCAGGGCGGGAGGAGCAGCACCCGAACGGGGGCCCUCGGGAGGGCUCUUGGGGGGGGGGGGGGUGAAAACCUCUUUCCCCAAGACCGACCUGGUGUAGCCGGGGAAACUGGGCUCCCAGGACCUGGAUGGAGGCCAGAAGGGCCCCGAGUCCCCGCCCAAGCCAGCUCCUCUCCUCUGACAGCGAAGCCAAACUCGAAGCCCAAAGGAUGAGCCUUCGGGCCCCAGAGUGAAGUCCUGAAGCAUCUAGUAGGCGCCCACUGUGACCGAUCUCCCACUGCCUCGGCCUGAGUCCGGGUGUGAAGGAGCAGAGACCCGAAACCAACCAACCGAGUCCCUCAACUGCCAUCCGCCAAGGAGGGCCGGGCCCUCGUCGGAGGGAAAAGUGCUUGGUCCUCUGAGAUGCUCGCAAGUCCUGGGCUUUCUGCAAAGUGCCUACUGGGUGCCAGCCGCUAACCCAAAGCCCGCACUUCGGCCGCUCGUGACUCUGCCCGCUUUACGCGUAAAGAAACCGAGCGGAGUGAUUUUAAGCUUUAAAACGGAGACGCUUGGAAGCAUCCGGUCCAUUCUAAUAAUCUAAUUUAAAAGAAGGACUUAAAGGUCACAAUUAAUUAAUCUCAGAGCUUAGGCUCCAGUUUGUGACUCUGAAUCGUAAUGAAAUGUAAGCUCCUUGAAACCAGGGACAGCGGUUACUUUUAUAAUUAAAAGAUACUAAUGUAUCUCUGGGGUCCUGGAUAUCACACUGGGCCUGGAUUCAGGAAGAUACCACAAUUCCCCAGCUUUGAAAGACCAGACCCCAGUCACUGGUGUCCAGAGAUUGCUGGAACACGGGAGAGGAGUAAACUGAAUUAUGGCCAGAUCUGUGAGCUGCUGUUGCUGACUUACUUGGUGACUUUGUCUGGGUCCCAAUUCCUCCUGAAUAAAAAUAGAAGUAUUAAACUAAAUGAUCUUGAGAGUCCCUUUUAGCUCUUAGUUAUGAA
rnacentral:lncRNA from 1 species